ACGGAGGGUGCAAGCGUUAAUCGGAAUUACUGGGUGUAAAGCGCACGUAGGCUGUCGUGUAAGUCAGGGGUGAAAUCCCACGGCUCAACCGUGGAACUGCCUUUGAUACUGCACGACUUGAAUCCGGGAGAGGGUGGCGGAAUUCCAGGUGUAGGAGUGAAAUCCGUAGAUAUUAGGAGGAACAUCAGUGGCGAAGGCGGCCAGCUGGACCGGUAUUGACGCUGAUGGGCGAAAGCGUGGGGAGCAAACAG
rnacentral:rRNA from 1 species